AUUGAACGCUGGCGGCGUGCUUUACACAUGCAAGUCGAGCGUCAUUAUAUGGGCAACUGUAUAAUGAAGCGGCGGACGGGUGAGUAAUACAUCGAGACGUACCUAAUAGUGGGGGAUAACUCAUCGAAAGAUGAGCUAAUACCGCAUAAUCUCUGAGGAGGAAAGGUGGGGCCCAGAAAUGGCCUGUUGCUAUAAGAGCGGUCGAUGGUCGAUUAGCUAGUUGGUGUGGUAAAGGCAUACCAAGGCGAUGAUCGAUAGCUGUUCUGAGAGGAAGAUCAGCCACACUGGGACUGAGACACGGCCCAGACUCCUACGGGAGGCAGCAGUGGGGAAUCUUGCGCAAUGGGCGAAAGCCUGACGCAGCCAUGCCGCGUGUAUGAUGAAGGUCUUAGGAUUGUAAAAUACUUUCACCGGGGAAGAGUAAAUGACGGUACCCGGAGAAGAAGCCCCGGCUAACUUCGUGCCAGCAGCCGCGUAAU
rnacentral:rRNA from 1 species